rnacentral:tRNA from 1 species
GCCAUCUUGGCUCAGUGGUAGAGCAACUGAUUUGUAAUCAGUAGGUCAUCGGUUCAAAUCCGAUAGAUGGCU